GACGAACGCUGGCGGCGUGCUUAACACAUGCAAGUCGAACGGAAAGGCCCUGCUAUUGUGGGGUGCUCGAGUGGCGAACGGGUGAGUAACACGUGAGUAACCUGCCCUUGACUUUGGGAUAACUUCAGGAAACUGGGGCUAAUACCGGAUAGGAGCUCCUGCUGCAUGGUGGGGGUUGGAAAGUUUCGGCGGUUGGGGAUGGACGAGCGGCUUAUCGGCUUGUUGGUGGGGUAGGGGCUUCCCAAGGCUUUGACGGGUAGCCGGCCCGGGAGGGUGGCCGGCCACCAUGGUCCUACGGUACGGCCCAGUCUCCUACGGUGGGCAGCGGGGGGGAACAUUGUCCAACCGGCCGGAGUCUGUUGCGACGGCCCCCGGGUCGGGAAGACCGUCUUUGGGGUGUGAACCGCUUUCGGCUAUUACCCAGCGGUUGUGACGGUAAUGGGUAAAGAAGCACCGGCUAACUACGUG
rnacentral:rRNA from 1 species